GUUACCAAGCCCUCUUGUCAUUCAGAAAACUUGUUUUGCAUUACUGGUAUUGAUGGUUUUAGUUUUAUACAUCGUACCUGAAAAAUGACUUCCUGUUUUCGGUUAUAGCUAAGUCACUGGCAUUUGUAAACAGACUUUCUCUCCGGAUUUUCGCUUAUUUCAGGAAAGAUCUGGGAAUGAAAUCAUCUUCUUCCAUGACUUGGAAUAUAGUUUGUUUCGUUUUGUUGAUUUUCUACCAAGCCAUACAAAUCGCACAGUCUUUUGGUUGCGCAACUUGUGCCUUUCCUGCUCUGAAUUUCUUUUGCUGUAUUUUGGUGGAGACGUGCUGUUGGAAAAAUAACGAGGAAGGAGAAUCUUAGAAAGAAUGCCGGACCCAAUGAGGAUGAUGAGAACGUAUAGAAGAAUAUACAACAUUUUCGUUUUAUUUAUACUUUUCGUAUCCUUAAUUUCCGGAGCCGAAAGUUUUGCUUGCGGAUCAUGCGGAAUCCCAAUUUUCUAUAACUUCUGUUGCACCCUUUUGCAGCGCUGCUGUGAUCAGGUUAACAAUGGUGGCUCUGCAGGUGGAUUCGGAUCUUCGGUGAUGUCUUCCAUGUAACAGAUAUUUUUGAUAACAGAUAUUUGCCUAAGUGGGGAACCAAAAAUGUGUAAAAUAAAAAUAUUUGAAGUCACGUAAUUCUGGAGUUCGGGAUUUAAUUACAAACUGAUUUCAUUUAUGAUGAAAAUGGAGUUCAAAUCAAAUAUUUUUAAAAUUUUGCUGAAAAUUCGAAUUUAUAAAACAAAAUCUUGAAAAGGUUUGAGGAGUAAUAAAACGAUUGUCGCGCCUCCUAUUUUACAAUUACCAUCGUAACACUGACUUAAUGAACGAAAACAAUAACAGACUCUCCGCUGCAAUACAAUAUAACAGACUCAAUAAAGUUUUCCGCAGACAUAAAAUAAAGCCUGUAGCGAAGCAUCUAGCUGUAACUCUUGUUUUGGAACCUUACUUAAAGUAAAUUUUAGUUUUAAAGAAGAAAAUUAUAAUAUAAGGGCCUUUUCAUGUGUAUAUCUGGAAAUAAAAUCUGGUUG
rnacentral:lncRNA from 1 species